CUACGGGAUGCAGCAGGCGAGAAAACUUUGCAAUGUGCGAAAGCACGACAAGGUUAAUCCGAGUGGUUUGUGCUAAACGAACCUUUUGACAGUCCUAGAAACACUGUUGAAUAAGGGGUGGGCAAGUUCUGGUGUCAGCCGCCGCGGUAAAACCAGCACCUCAAGUGGUCAGGAUGAUUAUUGGGCCUAAAGCAUCCGUAGCCGGCUCUGUAAGUUGUCGGUUAAAUCUGUACGCUCAACGUACAGGCUGCCGGGAAUACUGCAGAGCUAGGGAGUGGGAGAGGUAGACGGUACUCGGUAGGAAGGGGUAAUAUCCUUUGAUCUAUUGAUGACCACCUGUGGCGAAGGCGGUCUACCAGAACACGUCCGACGGUGAGGGAUGAAAGCUGGGGGAGCAAACCGGAUUAGAUACCCCGGUAGUC
rnacentral:rRNA from 1 species